rnacentral:lncRNA from 1 species
CCCAAUAACUCACAACCCAAAAUCCCUUAAUAACGGGGGACUCGAACCUCCCUAGGGACCGUCAACUGGUGGGACUUUACCACGCCCAGUGGUGACCAACUCCGGAGCGCACCGCUCGAGGGGGAGCGACCUCCCUCAAGCCAAGACGAAAUGUGAGUAUCGAUCUAAUCCUCAACUUGAGGACUCAUAGCCACUAGUCACAAUGCCAAUGUCACGAUAGGUCUCUACCUAUUCAUUCUUGCCACUCUCAAGGCUUUACCUUUGACGAUGUCAAAAUGGGUUAAACUAUAUUUAACGGUUCAUCUCUCAAUGCAAAUCUUGUUUCUAUGUCAAUGUCACCCUUGUUUUCUAUUGUCCAAGUCCAUUCUCACAUUCACACAACUUGAGGGUCCAAUCACACAUGUCCAUUUUGGUUCUAUCAUUCUCUAUGUUCAACUACGUUAGAAGCAUAUAAAUGAAGUCAAACCAAGUUCCACAUGUAACUACCCUACUAUGCAUGAAUGGGUAUAUAUAAAACAUAUAUGCUCAAGAAUAGAGAAAACAGACAUAGAAGGGAAUCCAACGAUUCCGGCGUGCACCCCCCACCUCUAUUGGUUGUGUGGGUGUAGAUUAUGAAGGCUCCCGCACUUUACGAAAGCCGAUUCCGCGCCCUAUAAUCAAAAUAGUGCCAUAUUAGGCCUUUUUGUACAUGAACUAUACUCUAUCAUUUUCGCAAUGUUAAACGAAGUUGUCCCACGCGUUUAGGACACCCCCAAUUAGGUUUCUACGGGGUCAAUUUGUCCCCGAAAAAUCCUAGGGCAAAAGCCCCAAAUCCAAGCCCUAAUAUUGUCAUUUAGGGUUUUCCCAUGAAUCGAUCCCAAUCCUAAGCAAACGAUAGCUUAGAAUCAUCUAAGAAGCACUCUAGUAAGGUUUCUAGACCUUUGGUUCCAACCCUAGGGCUCCAAACACCACUUCCAAGGAUUCACCAUGAGAGCACCUUGAGCUCUCAUGGGUACCAUGGUAUUCAUGGCUCAAAAGAGCCCCUAAAGCCUCUAAGGAGCACAAAGCUCCAAAUCCCUAAGCCAAAAUCCAAACCCUAGGCUCAUUUCUACCAAAAACUCACCUUAGCCCAAGCUCCUCCAAGUCCUUCUUGUAGGAGAGCUUGUAGAACCCUCCAAAGCCUCCAAAUCCUCCUCCUCUUCACUUCUUCUUCUUCUUCUCCAAGCCCUAGAGCAAGAGUUCUAGAGAGAGAAAGAGGGAAAAUGGGAGAGAAGGGUGAAAAUGGCUGUGAAAGAGAGGGGUGAAUCAUAUAUAGUGUUGUAACAAUUGCACUUAAGCCCCUCCACUUGUUUCCUCUCGAACUGCCCAGACUAGGCAUUUUUCGCUUUCGGGGACCGGUCUCCCCGACCAGGGACCGGUUCCCGAACGGGGGUUUUCCAGGACUUAGCCAAAUUUUCGAGUCUCUCAGCUGUUGCGCAGCGAGGGACCGGUCUGCCCGUCAGGGACCGAUCUCCCGAGGACCGGUCUCACCACCAGGAACCGGUUGCCUCACGACUUCCUGGCAGGCUACGCGUACGGGGACCGGUCUCUCCUUCAGGGACCGGUCCCCGAGAGCACAAAAUCUGGGACUUAGCCAGAUUUUCAGAUUACUCUCUCGGGUCCCUUCUAGCUUCACUUAUGGACUCUAAUGUGCUUAGGGUCCACUCCAACUUGUUCAAUUCCGCGUUCCGCUCAUUUUGACGGAACUCGGCACGAUUUACGAGGGAUGUGGUAUGUUACAGGUCCGGUCUCUCGGGCAGGGACCAGUUCCCGUACCCGUAAAAAUUGGGAAGGUCCUAGGGGACCGGUCCUCCUGACCGAGGACCGGUCCUCCCGACCAGGGACCAGUCCCUACGUGCGAAAUCUGCCCUGGCAAAGUGACUUAAGAGAAGUAAAGUGAAGGGGUUUUUUUUUGCAAAAAUGCCAUUAGUUAGAGGGAUAUAGAGAGGUUGAGCCCUCUUCUCUCUCUCACCCUCACUUUCACUCUCUCUCUCUUAGCUCCCCCUCUCUCUCUCUUGGAAGAGAAGAAAGAAAAGAGAAGAAGAAGAAAGAAAAGAGAAGAAGAAGAAGGAGGAGAUCAAGCUAGAGAAGGCUUGGAGCAUCUUCCUCUUCCUCUCCUCUCCAUUUGAGCUAACCUAGAGGUAAGCUCUUGAACCCUCAUGGUAGAACUUAGGGUUUUUGGAUUUUUGGCUUUUGAAAUAAGGUCAAAUGGACUUCUAGCACCAUUAAUGGUGGAUUAGAGUUUGAGGCUAGGGUUUCAUGGUGCAAAUUGCAAGAUGUGAAUCCUAGGGCACCCAAAAUGGGGGUUUUUGAUAAAUGAUGAGAUUGAUCUUAUUUAGUAGCUUGUAAACCUAAUUGAUAGGUGUCUAAAUGCGGGGGCGAAGUCGGAUUUUCGAUUCGUCGAGCGGGUGAAAAGCUAUCGGCGAAAUAUAGCCGAUUGAGCGUCGUUUUGGACCAAGGAGGCCGAGACCUCGUCGUAACGUUCGUUGGGAAGCGGUUCUAGAACGUUCGUACCCCCAAAAGGUGGGGGGUGUCAUCCCGAAGCAACCAAACUCUUUUCUAUGUCUUAGAAAUACAUGAUUUUCAUCUCUUGCAUGUUCAUUGUAGGAUUGUAUUGUAGUACCUUUUCCUUAUGCUUCUAAAUGUUAACCUAGUGUACAUGGAAUACUUGGUGAAAUGGAUAGGUAAGGAUUGGAUCGGAACAUGGAUCCUACAGUGCUAAAGGAAAGAGAUGAACUCGAUGGUUAUUUAGUGAUAUAGAGAGUGGCAUCUAAAUGUUUAAAGAACAGAACGAGUAGCAUUAUGUAGUGUAUUUGACACUAGAGGUUCAUGAACUUAGGGAUAGGUGGAUUCCCUAGAAAAUGACUCGUGAAUAAUGAACUUAGUAGAGCUAAGUAACUAUGCAUGAAAGUCGGAAUAGGUGAGUUCCGAGAGAAAUGUUGGCCCUAAUUCGUAGGGUAUCCUCAUGUGGAGAGGAUAGAUCAAACUCACGGUCUGUUAUUCGGGAUGGUAAUGUCACGUCCCGGGUUUCAGCGAAAGCAUACCCGAUACAUGCACAGACUCGCCAUAUACCUGCAGUAUAUAAGGCGUCUACAAGAAAACCAUGUCGAAAGGAGGAAAACAUUGAAGAAUUCUAACCUGAUAUCAGAGCAAAGUAUAAGUUGAUAAUAAGACUAUCAGAAAAUAAUAAGUAAGUAACCCAAAAUCUCAACAUCACAGAAAAACGUCAAAACUGUAAUCCCUGGUCAAAACCACAUAAACACCUCAAGUAUAUAUAAAAUAUAUGUACAACGGUAGUCUCUCUAUACACGAGGACAUCACCCUCGACCGUAGCCCGAGUAGUAAGGUGAUCACCUAGUCACGCUCCAAGCUAGAUCUAGCUAGACGAGACUCCCUUGCCACGAUCCCUAGUCUCUCCUGUAGGUGGCUCUGUAAAAACAAUAAUAAAAAAGGUGUGAGAACUAUUAAAUAAUAGUUCCCAGUGGGUAAGCCGCCAGCCUCGACGAAUUACACCACUAGGCUCAAGAUGUACUAUUAGAAAUGUAAGAACAUUUAUUGCAUAAUAGAUAAGUCAACAAUAAAUAACAAUGAACAUAUAUGAUGCCGUCAACUAUGUCAAUUGAGUAGAAACAAGUAAAGUAAUUACUUAUGGCAUAAACAUGUCGUAUCAAACACAGCUGUACAUUGUAUCAUAGUAAUUAUUUAUUACCAUCCUUUAACAACUUAGUUCAGUUCAUAAGGACCUAUAUAAGGUAGUCCAGCUUGCGCCUCGCCUAAUGGCCCUGUGGUAGUAUGCACUUCCCACGGCAAUCCAUUUCGGCACCCAAUCCCACACGGGCGAGCAAUCUGUCGCGUAGGCCAACUCCGGAGUGCCGACUUGUGGGGAGCGACUCUCACAAGUAUGUGCGAAUGAGCACAAUGGCAAGCAAGCAUAAUCCAUAAUUUAAUCCUUCCCAAUUAUCAUGUCAUCACGUGUAAUGUUCUCGUUCUCGAUUCAUUGAUCGGAAUCUCAACAUGAUGAAGUACUAGUAUCCAUUAGAUUAGUAAGCACAUGAAAGUAAUACUAAUUUACAUAUGGCAUUAGAUACUUUCCACUAUCAUGGUACUAUCAAGAUAGUCACAAGGAAUGUCAUUAUUCUCUACUUUAUAAGAGCAUAAUCGAUUGUUCAUUAAUUAUUUAACUGAACUAAACGUAAACAUUAAUACUUUUAUGCAUAAGUGUUCUCUACUUUAUAGAGGUUUCAUUUCAAAUAUAACAAACAUUAUGGUGACAUGCUCCAAGUCCUUUGUCAAUCACACAAUCACAAAAGUACACCCAUGUACCAAUUCUAUAGUAUCAUAUAGAACAUAGGGGAGCUUCACUUGCUCUAGUUAGGUCAAACCCACCUAUACUUUGAUGGUCCCUGAUAAACUUGCAAGUAGGUGUAUCCACAGUACUCCAAUUACCCUAGACUUAGCCUUUUCUCAUUAUGUCACUAUGCUCUCUUCUAGCAUGUAGGUUAACAUGUCAUAUGCAAAUAACAUCUAGCAUAUAUUUCAACAUAGCCAUUCGCCAUUAUCAACUAGCAUGCAUUUCUAAUGCAUCAACAUGCAACUAUCAACUAGCGUACAUAAUAUUUAUAUGCAAUUAUCAACAAGCAAGUAUUUACAUGAUGCUAGCAUACCUAUGUUUCCAUUUAGCAAUUAGGUUCACAUGCAUAAUUCCCUAAACCUAUCAAUUAAGUUUACAUGCAUUAUCUUUCACCUAGCACAUUACAAUGCCAACCUGCACAUACAUAUGCAUCAACGAGAAUUUCACAGUUCACUUUGACUUAGAGGCGACCUAGUCGCUUCGGUAAGCACAACCCACCUAUUAUCGCGUUCCGAUUGCUUCUAGUCACUUGCAAUCAGCCGCCCGCGGCACCCUCCGCCCGGUUCGGCUCGAACUCACACUCGGCCACCGAACAACCACCAAUCCGCAAUACGAAAAUUUAAGGUCUACAGCUAGCCGCCACGGUGCUCCGGAUCCGUCUUUGUAAUUUUUGGACGUCGCCUCGGCCUUCCAGGCCGAAACGAAGCUCUAACAGUCCGUUUUCCCUAUAACUUCGCGUAGGCUCGACGAAUCGCCGAACUGACUCCGCCAACACAUUCGUGUACCUAGCAAUUAGGUUUCUCUAGGGUUAAUUUAGAUCAAACCCCAACAUAUAGUAAAACCCCCAUUAUGAACCCUAGAUGCUCACUAUUGCAAAAAUCCACCAUUUGGACUCUAGAUUUAAGAAAUUAACAUCUAUUUAGCAUCCUAGGAUUCAUCUAAAUCCAUUUAUAGGGUAUUUAAACUAACUAUUAAAGAUUUACCAUUAGAGGUCUAAGAAGUUUACCUCUACAAGCUUCUCCAAAGCAAAGGAAGGUGAAGAAAAUGAAAUCCUCCCUUCAAGCUUCCUUCUCCACCAUCUCCUUCUCCUUCUUCCCACCUUCAAGAGAGAGAGAAAGAGAGUUUAGAGAGAGAGAGGGAGAGCUAAUUAGGUGUUAGGCUUGAAAGGAAUGAGAGAAAUAUCUCAUUCCACCCUUACAUAGCCUCCACCAAUGCAAAAUUGCAAGAAACCCCCUCAACAAUGCAAGUUAUGCCACAGCUCGAAACUGGGCAUUUUCGGGUACGGGGACCGGUCCUUGCAUGAGGGACCGGACCCUAGAGGACCGGUCCUUGCAUGAGGGACCGGACCCCGUAGGUCCUCCAGCCCAGACUUAGCCAAAUUUCAGCUUUCGUCCGUUUUUGCUCGUUUUCGCUCGUUUGGUCUCCGAUUCAUUUCAAAUCGAACCGAGACCCUCAAAAUAUGUUUUGGAGCGUAAUUACAUCAUCUUUUUAUUCACGCUAAUGCCAGAUUUAGUUCACGUUCCAACAUAGCCCUUCGGGUUCCGUUCUUGCGCCCGGCGCGCACCGAAACGCCCGAAUGCACCCAAACUUCACCGGAACCAUUCCAACGGCUCUCCAACCAAUAUACACCGCAACUUCAUAAUUUUAAAAGUUCGGUACCUUACAAAAAUGUUGUAGAUCUGGACGAGAAUGAUGCUAGGAAAUUUUUAGAGAGAGAAAGGAGGAGUUUUGAUGAAGUAUUGUGGGAAAAAUAAAAGUUAUACCGAUAUUUAAAAAGAAUUCCGCAGAGCUGGUACUGAUACUCGAACCCGCGUACCGGUACCCCGUAUAAAAAACUAUUUUUUUAAACUCUUGGGUUGCACAGUACCGGUUGGGCUCGUAUCGAUACCCGAUACCUAGUACUAGUACCUAGUGCCGGAAAAUCAAAUUUUUUAUAUCAAAUUGAUUCAAAUUAAGUUAAUUUCACAAAAAUUGAAGAUUGUACUCCACACUCAUUAUGAUGAAUAUAAAAUAUUACAUGAUUUCUUAAUUCAUCUAAACUUCAAAAUUAAGUCAUCAAAAAGAAUCUAUUGGUUCAAAAUCUUCAAGAUGUAAUAGUUCAUGAAAUACGAUUUAUAGAAAUUCGUCAAAAUUGACACCAGUUUGUCGCAAAACGUUCAAAAUUGAGAUUUAGCCAAAAAAAUUACCGAGGGUGGCUCUUUGAGCAUCUUUUUAUUCUACCACCUUAUAACUCUGAAAACUCUAAAAUAUUCACUAUUUUUCAACAUUUUCGGCGAUUCAAUCAAUUUCUAUGUGGUAGCUUCACACACUUACCGGACGACCAGGGUGGUAGCUCUUUCCUACAUGUGGUAGUAGCUUUCACACUCCUUUCGGAUAUAACUCUUUCCACAUCUUUUAAACAUAGGAGUAUUUUUUUUCUUUUGUAUUAUUUUUUUUUAAUAAUUUAAACUCCCCAUAAAUUAGGCAAUCUCGCAUUUGAAAGAAAAGUUGACAAACUUUAGUCUAUGAGCGAAUAACCAUUCAUCAUAUUUAACACACAUAAACAAGAUAGAUUAAUCGCCAAGAGAUCAAAUUUGAUUCCAUAAAUUUGAUGAAUAUAUGUGUUAAGAAAUCCUAUAAUAAAUUAUCGUCAAAAUAAUAAGAGUGGAGUAAAAUCGAUAAUUAAUAUGAAUUUAACUCAAGAUGAAUGUGAAUUUGAGAUGGUUAAGGCACUUUGAAAGUUUAAUUUUUCCAAAUCAANAAGAUGAAUGUGAAUUUGAGAUGGUUAAGGCACUUUGAAAGUUUAAUUUUUCCAAAUCAAUGAUUUCAAAACAUCACCUUUCUUGAAAGUUUUCGAAAUUUAAUUCCCAAUCAUCUUUCUCGAAAAGAUUUCAAAAACAAAUUUCAAGUAUCAAGACCAUUCAAACAUGUAAUGAAAAGAAAAAAAAUAUGCAAUGAGCACCAUUCAAGCAUUACACAAAUCAAAAACAAACUAAGACGUAAGACAUGGAAAGAUAUCACCUUUCCGGAUCCAAACUUGUCAUAUGGUGGGUUGUCUUGGCUUGUCGACGUUAGACAUGAUUUGUUUUGAUUUUUGAUCCACCACUGGUCUUCUUGUUGCAUGUGGCUUCGGUUGAGCUUGAUGUUGUGGCUUUGAUUUUCGUUUGAUUUGAGGUACCCGACUAGAUUGAUGUUGCUUUUGAAUCCGUGGGGGAAGUCGAGUGUUGGAUGAUGCCAAUAGAUGUUUAGAAGUUGCCAGUUGAUUCUUCUUAUUCUUCUUCGGGCAAUUCUUCUUGAUGUAUCCUUUGCUAUCACAUCUAUGGCAAACCUUCUCCUUUAAAGAUGUUGAGAUUUUAUGUUUUACACUUUGAUCCUUCUCAACAUAAGUCCUUUCGUAUCUAAGACCAAGCUUGUUCGUUUGACCCAAUCCGAGCAUAUGAUACAAUUUCUUUGAAUUGAUGCUCUAGAAAACCAACCUUUUCUUGGUGUGAUUUGAUCGUUAACACCGAUUGGUCGAGCUUCUCUUGGAGGACCGAAUUGUUUUUCAAAAUCGAUUCCCUUUCCUCCUCGAGAGCUUUGUUUGUGAUCUUCAAAUAUUUGUUCUCAUCUUCAAGUUCUAACAAUCUAUUCUUCAACUUCUUAUUAUGCUUAGCCAUCUUCUUUGAUUCGAUAAGAAGUUGAUUGUACGCGGCGGCUAAAUCCUCGUCGUCUGACUCCUCCUCACAUUCGCCAUCAUCGCUCGACGUCCCAUGCAAAAAAGGAGAAACACUAGAGUCAGGAAUAAUAGAUGAUAAACAGGCAACAGUAGACGAAGGUAAAGAAGCAAUAGUAAAUAAAGCUAUUUCAUCAUUCUUUUCUUCGUCACUUGAGAUCAACUCAUCAGAGGUAGAAUCAUCCCAAGUCCUCGCUUGCAAAGCCUUCUUUUUGUGUGGCUUUUUAGUGGGACAAUCCGUGGAAAUAUGGUCGUAGCUUUUGUAUUUGAAACAUUGGAUUUCCUCUUUGAAAAAUCUUUUUCUUUAAAAGGUUUUGUGUCACGCCCCGCAACCAACCGCCAAUUUGGACAGGGUCGCGGCGCCAACGACAGACCGCCGAACGGACCGGGGUUUUCCCUGUACGCGGACAGAGUCUCCCCUGUACGUUCAAGGCGUCGCAAUCCAAACAAUCAACGAAUGUUCCAAGUAGGAACGGAUAUCAAUCCAGAUUGCAUAAGGAAGUAUCAAAUACUUAAAACUAAUAGCUAUUACAAGCAUUCACUUAGUACAACUCAGUUACAUUUUACUUCCAAAUUACAAUCUAAUUAUUACAUCAUUUAAUUUACAAGUUUGAUACAUCUUGAAUCUAGCCUUCUAGUCUCCUAAACUAGACUGCCUCAGGGUACUGCUACCUCGGUCUCUGUGGUAGGGCGCUAUCUACUGAGCUACGCCCUCGCCUCGCGCCACCGCGCUGCACAAGUACAACCUGAAAACACCCCAAAACCACGUGGGGUGAGAACCAACUCUAUGGUUCCCAGUGGGUACGGCCACCCAAGGAAAAAGCUUGACCGAUAGGUCCGAGGAGGCACUGCAACAUGUUAGUUCAACAAUAUACAACAGAUAUAUAUUCAAUUGAAAUACAUGCCAUGCCUCACGAUAUGCGAUAUGAAAAUCAUGCAAUUCUAUGCAACAACUAGUAGAUCAUUAGAUUCUACAUUUACUUGGCUACUCUUAGCUCAUAACUUUACUCUAAGGUUUCUACUACCUUAGGUUCACACUCGAGUCCCCUGGCUCCUAAGGUCUCUAUUACCUUAGCUCAAGGCUCUAUCUUUAGCUCAUAAGGGUUCCUCUACCCUAUCGAAGCUAACCACCCGACUCGGCUUCGAGUCAAUCAUCCGCGGAUAGCCCGCGCACCGGCUGCUCAUCAGCCUACCGCUCUCAGCCCCCUAGCGACGAAGUCGUCGCACACGCUAGGCCCGACUCAAGUCGUACGACUUGACUAUUUGGCGGCGAUCGCGUUGCUCUUACCCAGUGUGAGCUCGAGUCCUGACACGCCGUCUAGCGGCGAACGGAUCGCACCGCACCCAACAAGGGUACAUGUCAGACUCAGCCACCUGGAGGCUCCCGCGUCGUACUUACCCAGCAUGGAUUCAGUCUGCUCUGGCGGUCUGAUCCUUAAAUGGCUUAACCAUCCUGGCGGCGAAAUCGUCGCACAAAUGCCACGGCAAUGGUUCAAGCCCCGGGCGGUGAUCUCCACAUGGUCACGCCCAAUCUACCCACGGUACCAAGCUCGGCGGCGAAGUCGUCGCACAAACACCCUAGCCUGUACCAGGGACGUCAAAAGUCCUGGGAUCCCGGAAUCCACUUUCCACAGGUCGAGGGUUCAUAAACCAACCCUAUAUCAUCGACCUAGCUCACCCUAGUGGGUAUACCACUAUACUCAUCAACCUAGGUUCCAAGACUCUAGGUUCUAUGUCCACGUCACUUAACCUAGUUACACUUGCUAGGUUCAUGUCAUCCUUGCCUAGAUGUCCACUUCUAGGUUUACUAGUUCGACCUAGGUUCACUAACACUAGACUCAAUGCCACACACCUAGAUUGUUCGACUCUAGGUUUACUAUUCAACAUAUGUUCUUUAACACUAGGUUAGAUGCCACUCGAUCUACCUGACAACCUAGUUGUCCAAUCAACUCUACUCACACUAGAGUUAUUAACUCAUGCCUUCUACGUGGCAUUCACUCUAUGCAUCUUUGAUCAUCAUGCAUUCUAUUUAGCAUUUUCAUCUAUGCACUACUAUUAGUAUGCAUUCUUUACAUUAGCUAGCAUUAUUUACAUGUCAUGCUUUCAUGCUUGCUACUUACUAUGUGUUCAUUACUUAGCCUUUACUUUAUGCAUUAUCAUUCAUCAUGCAUUUUUUGUCCUUGUCUACAUGCACAUGCAUCAACAUGGAGAUACAUUGCUAAGACAUAAAGGGCGACCUAGUCGCUUCGGUAAGCACAACCCACCUUAGUUAGCUUUUCCGAUUGCUCGUCGACACUUGCAAUCGGCCUCCCACGGCACUCGGCACUCGGCGCCCGUUUGGGCCCGAUCUCACAGUUGCUUUCCACGAGUGCGCUGCUUCGCCGUUUCAAGUGCUAGCGAUCUUCGCCAUGCCGCUACGGUGCUCGGGACCCGAUUUCACGAUUUAUGGACGCCGCCUCGGCCUCCCAGGCGGAAAUGAAGCUCCGAGCGCCCGUUUCUUCAAUAUCUCCGCAACGGCUUGUCGGAUUGCCGAACCGACUUCGCCAACGUGUUUCGUUACCUACCAAUUAGGUUUACGAAGGGUCAAAUAAGAUCAAACUCAUCUAUUUACAAAAACCCCCAUGGGUGCCCUAGAAUGCCCUCAAUAUCAAAACCACCAAAUCGAUCUAUGAAAUGGGUGAAAUCAUCUUAGAGGCAUGCUAGGGUUCCUCUAAAUCCAUUUCUAGGGUUUAUAAACCCAUCUACAAGGAACUAUUACAAAAAGCCAUGAAACUUACCUCUUGAGAGAGCUCCAAUGGCUCAAGAAGGAUGAAGGAGAGGGUGAAGAUCUCCUUCUAGAUCUUCUUCUCCUUCCUCUCCAUCUUCUUCUUUCUCUUUUUCCUUCUCUCUUUUCCUUUUCUUUCCUUCUUUCUCUUUUCCUUUUCCUCUGCUACGGACGGAGAGAGAGAGGGAGAGAUAGUGAGGGAGAGUGUGAGGGAGUGAGACAGAGAGAGAGAGAGAGAAAGGCCUCUCUCAAAUAACCCCUCAUAUGGCUAUUUUGCACAUAAGCCCCUCCACUAUUCAUCUCUUGCACAGCCCUCACUGGGCGUUCUGCGCGCUGAGGGACCGGUCUCCUCGACCAGGGACCGGUCCCCGGGGCCUCCCCCCGCGGGCAUGCGUUCGGGAACCAGUCCCUCCCUGAGAAACCGGUCCUCGGGAUACCGGUUCCUCUCAGAGAGACCGGUUCCCGAGAGCUAAACUCUUGGGACUUAGCCGAUUUUUUGGCUCUUCUCACUGGUGUCGCAGGCUGGGACCGGUUGUCACGCCCCGCAACCACCCGCCUAUUUGGCCGGGUCGCGGCGCCGCCGACAGAUCGCCGAACGGACAGGAUUUCCCCUGUACUACGGACAGAGUCUCCCCUGUACGUUCAAGGCAUAGCAAUCAAUACAAUGUGCGAAGUUCCAACCAGGAACACAUUUCAAUCAAGAUUGCAUAAUGGAAGGCAUCAAACAACAUAACACAUCCUAUAUUAUUACAUUCAUUCAUAUUCAUGCAUUUUACAUCACAAUUCUCAAUUGGUUCUUACAUUAACUUUCACUUAACUUCCAAAUACAAUCCGAUUUAACAUGAUUAUUACAACUUGAUUCUUUUCAUUCUUUACAACUCUAAGUAAGGCCGACUCAGGGUACCGCUAUCUCUGGUCCCGGUGGUAGGGCGCUAACUAUGGAGCUACGCCCUCGCCUCGCGCCACCGCGCCGCUCACGUGCGAACCUGUAACACCCCAAAACCACGUUGGGUGAGAACCAACUUCAUGGUUCCCAGUGGGUACGGCCACCCAAGGGAAGAGCUCGACCAAUAGGUCCAAGGGAGGCAACUGCAAGUUAGUUCAAUAAACAGAUAGAUAUAUAUAUUUAUUAUGCAACUAAUAAAACCAUGCUUUGCCUCACGAAUGCAAUAAUGCCAUGCUAUAUGCGAAUCAUGCAACUAUACAAGUAGAAUAAAUGAUUUUACUUUGUAUCAUGCUAUCCAUAGCUUUUUCAUAAUUUAUACAUCUUAUCACUUUACAUCAUUGGUUAUUUGCUCCUAAGGUUUUCCUCUACCCUAGCCAAGCUAACCACCCGACUCGGUCUCGAGUCAAUCAACUGCGGAAUACCGCACCAAAACUAGGCUCGAGGUGAUGGACGUCUCACAUACACCUCAGCCCUAAAUCCUCUCAACUGGGAUACCAAACCCGUAACACAUAAUGCUAUACAUUCACUUGGCUUUGACCCAAUCUUACCGGUUAACCAUGUUAACCCCAAUGACUCACAACCCAAAAUCCCUUAAUAACGGGGGACUCGAACCUCCCUAGGGACCGUCUUCUGGGGGGACUUUACCACGCCCAGUGGUGACCAACUCCGGAGCGCACCGCCCGAGGGGGAGCUACCUCCCUCAAGCCAAGACUUAUCGUGAGUAUCGAUCAAUCCUCAACUUGAGGAUUCAUAGCCACUAGUCACAAUGCCAAUGUCACAAUAGGUUUCUACCUAUUUAAUCAUGCUACUCUAUGUCAAUUGGUCCAAUGCCACUCUUGGUUAAACUAUGUUUAACAACUAUAUCCUCUAUGCAUAUCAAUGUCUCUAUUGUCAAUGUCGCCUUUGUUUACUAAUGUCCAAGUCCAACUCUCACAUUCACACAAUAAUAGGGUUCUAACAUACAUGUCCAUUAUGGUUCUACCUUUCUCUAUGUUCAACUACGUUAGAAACAUGUCAUUGAAAGUAACCAAGGUUCACAUGUACUUAGCCCUAUUAUGUAUGAAUGAUACAAAUAUAUAUGCUCAAUGCCACAAGUGUUUGCUAGGUUCAUGACACUAGGUUCACACUAUACUUGUUCAACCUAUAUUCAAUACACUAGGUUUAAUGCCACUUGAUGUCCAACCUAUGUUCUUUGGCACUUGAUUCAUAUCCUCCAU